UUAAGGAACACUUGAAAAUAAAUGUUCUGAAUAUGUACUGAAGUAGGACAUGAAGAUCAAUAGCAAGCUUAUUCUACCAUGUUUGUUCGUUGGGGCUUUGACUUAUAUAGUAUAUACGAAUUUCAUUCCCUCCAGUACGGAUGGUAAUACUAAGCGGAAGCUAUUUCAAUAUUACAAACAAGAGGAGAAUAUAGACUCAGCCAAAAGAGAGCCGAUACACAAGAAAGACACAGGCAACGGAGAUUUUAAACCCAAAACGGA